rnacentral:rRNA from 1 species
GACGAACGCUGGCGGCGUGCCUAAUACAUGCAAGUUGAGCGCUGAAGGUUGGUACUUGUACCAACUGGAUGAGCAGCGAACGGGUGAGUAACGCGUGGGGAAUCUGCCUUUGAGCGGGGGACAACAUUUGGAAACGAAUGCUAAUACCGCAUAAAAACUUUAAACACAAGUUUUAAGAUUGAAAGAUGCAAUUGCAUCACUCAAAGAUGAUCCCGCGUUGUAUUAGCUAGUUGGUGAGGUAAAGGCUCACCAAGGCGAUGAUACAUAGCCGACCUGCGAGGGUGAUCGGCCACAUUGGGACUGGGACACGGCCCAAACUCCUACGUGAGGCAGCAGUAGGGAAUCUUCGGCUAUGGACGAAAGUCUGACCGAGCAACGCCGCGUGGGUGAAGAAGGUUUUCGGAUCGUAAAACUCUGUUGGUAGAGAAGAACGUUGGUGAGAGUGGAAAGCUCAUCAAGUGACGGUAACUACCCAGAAGGGGACGGCUAACUACGUG